rnacentral:misc_RNA from 1 species
UUUGGAUCCCUUACCCAUAAACCCUAAACCCACUAAGAGGUCACAAUGGAAGAGAAGUCUACUCGAAUUGAACGGAAAAUUUGAUCGAAAGUAUCAGCAUGAUGUUUCUGGAUUACUCAUGCAAUCUUAUUCAGAGGUUAUGGCAUUACCUCAUACUUAUCACAUCCAUGGAGCGCCUUGUCAAACACAUGUGAACUGGUUUGUUGGUGGUAACUAUAGUCAAAAUCCGUUAGCCGGAGAGGGUAUCUCGGCUUUGGAAUUUGAUAAAAAGGGAAUAUAUCUAGCAUCAGUGACUCAAUCAGGUUGCUUAACUGUGCAUGACUACGAGAGUCUUUAUUGUAAUGGUUCAAAAGAAGAUGAAACAAAUCAGUUGCUG